UGAACUUUCUUAAAACAAUCCAGUUGAGAUGCAGUUGACUUUAGGUACCUAAAGUCAAUCGCAUUUUUUCGUACCAUGACCACCUAUAAGCUGAAUCGUAUUAGCAUCGCAAGACCGAAUGAAAGAACGAUAAUUUUGUUUGUGGUUUCUAUGUAAGUUUAGAAAUUUAACUGUCAAACUUACUUCGACAGAUGUUUCUAUAAAAAUAAAUAAAAUAUAAAAUUAUUUUAAAUAAUUCAUCAAUUAUAAUAAGCUAUUAUGUCUUAAUAUAUAUUUAUUUAAUAUAAAACUAUUCGUUUGAUAUAUUUUAAAUUUAAAGUUUUCUGGUGCUGUGCAGUUGACACUUAUUAUUUUUAAACGUUUCCUUCAAAUUUUGAAAGGAGCUUUCAAUAUAUUUGGUGUUUACAAAAUUUCGGUUUCAUAAAUAUAGUUUUACAAAUUGUUUAACUUAUAAAAUAAUAUGAUGGGCUUAAACCUGACAAACUCGCUGAAUUGAGAGAAGAAAAUAUAUAAAUGAAUAUAUGUUUAUAUCCAAUUGAACAUUGCCUGAUUCAAGACAAGACAAGACAAGAUUUUUCUAUCUUGAUGGAGUCAUCCUAACUAAAUAAAUACUGUUAUUGUAAUACUUUCAAA